rnacentral:tRNA from 1 species
GCGAAGGUGGCGAAAUUAUGGUAAACGCACUAGCUUCAGGAGUUAGGAUCUUUACACAAGAUAUGAGAGUUCAACCCUCUCCCUUCGCA